rnacentral:pre_miRNA from 1 species
CAACUACUCCCUCCGUCCGGAAAUACUUGUCAUCAAAAUGGACAAAAAUGUAUGUAUCUAGAUACAUUUCUUUUUGUCCAUUUUGAUGACAAUUAUUUCCGGACGGAGGGAGUACUAU